rnacentral:rRNA from 1 species
UACGAAGGGGGCUAGCGUUGUUCGGAUUUACUGGGCGUAAAGCGCACGUAGGCGGAUCAUUAAGUCAGGGGUGAAAUCCUGGAGCUCAAACUCCCAGGAACUGCCUUUGAUACUGGUGGAUCUUGAGUCCGGAAGAGGUGAGGUGGAACUCCUAGUGUAGAGGUGGAAUUCGUAGAUAUUAGGAAGAACACCAGUGGCGAAGGCGG